AAGAAAAUGAGCCUGCAUGAAUAAAUCGAGCAGAUGUGUCACUUUCUAUUGUGCAGAUAGAAGCCUGUUCUGAAGGUUAUACUGAAUUUGUGCCUUGUAAAACUUUCUUGAUGGAAUUACAGCAUUUAAGGCAAUAGAAAAGCCUAAAGUCUGAUCUGUUUCUGGAAAUGGUCCUGUCCCCUUCAGCUGCCUUCUGGACAUCGCUGCCUCUCUGGUAGAACAGUAGAACAGAAGUUAACUACUGCAGCUGCUCUCUGUAAAUAGCUCACUUUCUGUAGUGGCUCAUCCACCUUCUGGCUGACCAGAAAAGCAAUCUGAUAACGGUUAUAAUGCCAUCCUCAAAGCCAUCCUUCGAAUGUGUGGAGUGGGAGAAGUGAAGGGUAUGCAACAGACAGGGGACAGGGACAGCACUCCAGCCCCUUCACACUGAGGCAGAGCUUUUCUGAAGGACUCGAGUCUGCAUUUGCAUGCCUCACUUUCUCAUAGUUCAACUUUGUUUCAUGACUUGUUUGUACAACAAAGACCUUCCAGUGAUAGUACCCAAGAACCUUCACAGUUUCAUCUUGUUUAAAGUCUAAGGGAAACCUCUACCAUUAUUAAGAGAGAUGGUUCUUCGAGUAGAAAAUGGAAAUGUUUUGCCAGGUUUGUACCACAGAAUAAUAUUACGCAAGUGGCAGUUUCUCUGGUGGAUGGUGAUAUUGCUCCAGCACACUUACACAAUGGGGUAUCACUAAUGCCUCCAUUUGGUGGAUUAAUUGCUUUGAUUCUUAACUCUGUGAUGUCUUCUGUUAGGUUGCUGACUGGUUUUUUUUGUUUAUUUUAUGCCAGAAUAGACGCUUCCAAGAAAACCUUCCUGAAUAUACUUUAUUUAUGGCAGUAAAUUCUAUCAGUGGUACCUCUUCACUAUCUGGGAAAUACUUGCACAAAGCUGAGAGGUGUGAGACAGAUGGAUCAUUGUAUCUUCUGAACAGAAUCAUAACCAAGGGACAUAAUAUUUAUUUCUAUUUACUUUUUAAUAUACCAGAGCUUCACCUCUGGACUCUUAUUCUUUUUAAUACAACAGGAAAACGACAUCUAAAUACAUUGCUCUGAUAACCUAAUGAUAUGAAAACAUUUCUGUUUUCUUUAGGUUAUUGUAAGAUUUCUUUUCAUUAUAAGGAGCCUGACUUCACAAGUGCUGAAAAGCCCACAUCCCCAGGACUUCAGUGAAGUCUUGAGCUGUUCACUUUCUUCAGGGGCACAGACAGCCUUCCCAGAAGGUCUCUUCACCAGAGAAGGAAGAUAGGAUUUUCAGUUGCCUGUAACUAUUUGUUCAAGAUAUUGCUUGAGAUGUUCUUACCUGUCAAUAGCCACCUGUUAGAAUAAUAUCAUGAAUAAUGAACUACAACCAACAACUUUUGUGUUUUUUGGUCAGUACAUGAAAAGUCUCCAAAAUAGGAAGUGUUCCUUGUCUUCUGUGGAACCCAGCUUCUGCUUGGCUCAUCACCUACAACCUUAAAUGACUGCUGCCUUUUUGUUGAAGACCUUUAGAAACAGCAUGUGCAAAACACCUGUAGAUAGUCAGGAGAUGAAUAAGAGACAAUUACUUCAUUUAAAUCAGGAAAGUCAAAAAGCAUUUGCAGUCAUUACUCACAUGGCACAGAGCUCAAUAUUCAGCAUCUUGGUACUGUGGACAAGUGAACUGAUACAAGUUUGAGUGUGCUUUGAGGAAAUCUAGAGGUUACUAUUUUUAAGUAAUAAUAAUAGUAAUAAUAAAAAUCUCCCUGAUGUGGAAAUUGAGACAUCAAGAAAAAAACAAUCCACAUAUUUGAGAUCAGUAAGCCUCAGCAAAUGCCUUGAGGCUGUUUGGUGCCUAUCACACGAGGCUGGAAAGGUGCUGUUGAUGGCAAAGUUUGCCAGCUUCAGGCAAACUCAGCUGGUGGUAGCCCUGAUCCUCAGUGAAGCCCACCACUCCUCACAGUUUGCCAACAUCAGGGAUCCAGACAGCAAAGCUCAGCAAGAUAUUUCAGUCACAACAACUGGGAUUGCAGCAAGGGUUUUUCUCUUGCUGGUAGGGUCCAACCACCACUAUAUGUGCUAUUCCAAAGCUGUUCCAUUAAAUUAACCUAGAAUGUGUCCAGCUUAAAAAAAAAAAAAUGGUGCAAAAGUAACAAAGGGGAGGUAAAUUAAGAUUUCAGUGAAUUACAAAGGUUUGAUCUAUUUGAACUGCAGCUGUUGGCAUGUGUUGUCAUCCACUGGUGAGGCUGCACCUCCUGUACUAUGUUCAGUUUUGGGCCUCUCACUACAAGAAAGACAUUGAAGCCUUGGAGUGUGUCCAGAGAAGGGCAAUGAAGCUGUGAAGGGUCUGCAGCACAAGCCUUUUGAGGAGCAGCUGAGGGAGCAGCGUGGAGAAGGGGAGCUCAGGGGUGACAUUAUUGCUUUCUACAGCUCCCGGAAAGGAGGUUGUAGUGAGGUGGUGGUCAUCUACUCCUCUCAGGUAACGGUGAUAAGAAGAGAGGUAAUGGCUUUACGUUGUUCCAGGGGAAGUUCAGGUUAGAUGUUAGGAAAAAUUUCUUCUCAGAAGUAGUAAAGCCUGGGAACAGGCUGUGCAGAGAGGUGAUGGAGUCACUGUCCCUGAAGGUGUUCAAGAAAUGUGGUGAUGCAGUGCUGAGGGCCAUGGUUUUGUGGGCAGUACUGGUGGUAAGUGGACGACUGGACUUGAUGAUCUUAAAGGUCUUUUACAACCUUAGCAGUUCAAUGAUUCUAUCCAGUACUGCAAUACAUUUGUGCUGUUUUGAUGCACCUAGACUUAAAAGGAUCUGUUGGGCACCAAAUAUUGGGAAGCCAUUAGGAGUCACAUGCUCACUGCUCUAGGGACCCUGCUUCUGCCUCCGUGAAGUUGGCGUAUUGUGCAGAUGGAAACCAGCCCUGUUUCUUGAGGUGUAUCUGGCAAGCUGCUGAUUGCUCUCUCACUCGUGCAAGCUGUGACCCUUUCCAGCUGUUCUUAAUCUGGUCCCUUAACCUUUAAUAAAAAAACACCCCACAAACAUAACACACCAGCUUUCCGUUCCUCAGAGCCAAACUUUGCUAACAACAUCUAGGUUGUUUUCAAACCUGGCUUCAAACAUAAAAGUGACUAAUAAAUCUAUAUCCCAUAAUAGGCUGGAAGGCCAUUAUUUAAAAACAUGCUCAGUUUUUACGACCCAUUUCUAGUGAAAAUCCCAACUGCACCUCUCUGAUGCUCCCCUUCUGCUGCUUACAUCCCAGAUGAUGGGCACGAUAGCCAGAGAGACGCACCGGUAAAUAAGUGAAGGCUAUAAACCUGUCUCAGUUUAGUGAUUUGUGUACGUGUGAGGGGGAAGAGAGUAAGGAAAUUCAGUUUUCUAAUCUGCUCAUUUCCUGGCUCUUAGUGCUCUGUAACUUCCCAGCUGCCGGUUCCGUUCUUCCGCGGUUGAUGUCAGUGCAUGCUGCUCCGUGCCCUGCAGUGGGACCGUGCCGCUGGGGGGCUGCGGGUUGCCCCUGCCCUACGGCAGCACCCUGGGGCACCCGGGGACGGGCACAGCGCGGAACCGGAGAGCCCGGGGCGCUGGAAGGAGCGUCGCCCGCUGGCUUCGGGAUCCAGCUUCGGGCUUCCCAUUAGAACAGCACCACAAAUAGCAAUCAAUCAUCAUUCAAGAGCAUCCAUCUUCCUGACUUUUUUUACGGCCUUGUAAUUGCCCCCUCCCUGACAGGAGGAUUUAUGCCCGGCCCGGUACGGGGAGCUCCGCUGCCCGCCUGGUACCGCCGGCUCCUGCGGGGGAACGUGGAACGGCCGCAGCCGCAACCUCCCCCUUCCUCCCCCCCGCCGCCUUCUGCCGAACUGUCGUCUCCAGCAGCUCCCCGCGCUGUUCUCUCUGUUGCUCCAAUCGGGCUGGGGCUUGCUGCCGGGCUCUCAGCUGCCUCCGGUCCCGGGACGAGGAGCGGGCCUAACUCCCAUCACCUGAAUUUUCCGUGCAAAAGUCACGGACCGUCCCGGCGCCGUUCGAAAGGGAAACGCUUUCCCUCUCUCUUCCUCUUUCCCUUUCCCCGCUUCCCAAGCAGGCUGCCUCCCGGUCCCUCCCGCAGCUCCCGCUCCCCCAGCAGCAUUCCCCGAGCCCCGGCCCCGUGCCCUUUUCUGGCCGAAGUUCGGCUGUUUGUCCCCCCCGCGGGGCACGGCCGGGCCCCUCCGGCGGGCAGCGCCCGGGGGGAGGUGAUGGCCUAGAAACCGCGCGGCGCUCAGCGGCGGUGCGGCUGUGCCGCUCCCCUCUCUCGCUGCCCGCGGCUCUCCCUCUCCUCCCGCGGCGGUCGCGGAGUAGCGGGGGAGCCCCGUGCCCCCCAUGCGCGGCGCGGGGGCUCUCAGGCGGCCGGAGGGCGUCCCGCGAGGAACGCCGGCGCUGGGGGGGGCCCCGACCUGCCGCAUCCCCGGCUCUCGGCGCUGACCGGGCCGGAGAAGCCCCUCCGGCGACGGGUCCGUCGGGGCCGCGGCCAUCGGCGGCGGCGAGGCAUCCUCCGGCGGUCG